rfam:Picea glauca, whole genome shotgun sequence.
AUGUACAUCCCUACAACAUAGCGCUAAUGAACCGGAUCCCAUUAGAACUCCACAGUUAAGCGCACUCAGGCUAGAUUAGUAUUGGGAUGGGCGACCACCUGGGAAGUCCUAGUAUUUUACAUU